UACAGAGGGUGCGAGCGUUGUCCGGAAUCACUGGGCGUAAAGGGCGCGUAGGCGGCCUGGUAAGUAGGGGGUGAAAUCCUGCGGCUUAACCGCAGGGCUGCCUUCUAAACUGUCAGGCUUGAGCACGGUAGAGGCAGAUGGAAUUCCCGGUGUAGCGGUGGAAUGCGUAGAGAUCGGGAAGAACAUCAGUGGCGAAGGCGGUCUGCUGGGCCGUUGCUGACGCUGAGGCGCGACAGCGUGGGGAGCAAACAGG
rnacentral:rRNA from 1 species